AACGCUAGCUACAGGCUUAACACAUGCAAGUCGAGGGGCAGCAUUAUCGAAGCUUGCUUUGAUAGAUGGCGACCGGCGCACGGGUGAGUAACGCGUAUCCAACCUUCCCCAUAGUCAGGAAUAGCCCGGCGAAAGUCGAAUUAAUGCCUGAUGUUUUCCACGGACGGCAUCCGAUGUGGAACAAAGAUUCAUCGCUAUGGGAUGGGGAUGCGUCUGAUUAGCUUGUUGGCGGGGUAACGGCCCACCAAGGCAACGAUCAGUAGGGGUUCUGAGAGGAAGGUCCCCCACAUUGGAACUGAGACACGGUCCAAACUCCUACGGGAGGCAGCAGUGAGGAAUAUUGGUCAAUGGGCGGAAGCCUGAACCAGCCAAGUAGCGUGAGGGAUGACUGCCCUAUGGGUUGUAAACCUCUUUUAUAAGGGAAUAAAAUACGGGACGUGUCCUGUUUUGCAUGUACCUUAUGAAUAAGGACCGGCUAAUUCCGUGCCAGCAGCCGCGGUAAUACGGAAGGUCCGGGCGUUAUCCGGAUUUAUUGGGUUUAAAGGGAGCGCAGGCGGUCUUAUAAGCGUGACGUGAAAUGCAGCGGCUCAACCGUAUGAUGUGCGUCGCGAACUGUGAGACUUGAGUGUAUUCGAUGUCAGCGGAAUUUGUGGUGUAGCGGUGAAAUGCUUAGAUAUCACGAAGAACUCCGAUUG
rnacentral:rRNA from 2 species